AUGAACGUUGGCGGCGUGGAUUAGGCAUGCAAGUCGUGCGGAAAGGCCCCGCAAGGGGUACUCGAGCGGCGAAAGGGAUAGUAAUGCGUGGAUACCUGCCCUGGGGACGGGGAUAGCUGCUGGAAACGGCAAUUAAUACCCGAUGACGUCUCCGGACCAAAGGUGUGAUUCCGCCCUGGGAGGGGUCCACGUCCUAUUAGCUAGUUGGUGAGGUAACGGCUCACCAAGGCCACGAUGGGUAGCGGGUGUGAGAGCACGACCCGCAUCACUGGGACUGAGACACUGCCCAGACACCUACGGGUGGCUGCAGUCGAGGAUCUUCGGCAAUGGGCGAAAGCCUGACCGAGCGACGCCGCGUGCGGGAUGAAGGCCUUCGGGUUGUAAACCGCUUUCGGAGGGGAGGAAAUCGAGGAGGGAUCACCCUUCUCGUUGACCUAUCCUAAGAAGAAGGACGGGCUAAGUUCGU
rnacentral:rRNA from 1 species